rnacentral:rRNA from 1 species
CCUACGGGCGGCAGCAGUGGGGAAUAUUGCGCAAUGGGCGAAAGCCUGACGCAGCGACGCAGCGUGAGGGAUGAAGGUCUUCGGAUCGUAAACCUCUGUCAGCAGGGAAGAACGGUCACUGUGCUAAUCAGCAGUGAAUUGACGGUACCUGCAAAGGAAGCACCGGCUAACUCCGUGCCAGCAGCCGCGGUAAUACGGAGGGUGCGAGCGUUAAUCGGAAUUACUGGGAGUAAAGCGCUCGUAGGCGGUAUGUCAAGUCAAGGGUGAAAUCCCCGCGCUCAACGUGGGAACUGCCUUUGAUACUGGCAGACUGGAGUGUGUGAGAGGAUAGUGGAAUUCGAGGUGUAGGAGUGAAAUCCGUAGAUAUCUGGAGGAACAUCAGUGGCGAAGGCGACUAUCUGGCACAUAACUGACGCUGAGGAGCGAAAGCGUGGGUAGCAAACAGGAUUAGAUACCCUUGUAGUC